GCUCUGCUAUCGUUACGGCGUAGCAGGCCGACCUAAAAUCUUAUGGUCAGCCGUGUUGUCCUGCUUCGGCGAAUACCUUUGGGGGUCUGGUAGAACGCUUAGUAGUCACCAUAUUGUGACGAACAGCGCGGCCAGC
ncrna:unclassified sequences RT-10 RNA